rnacentral:rRNA from 1 species
CCUACGGGAGGCAGCAGUAGGGAAUCUUCCACAAUGGACGAAAGUCUGAUGGAGCAACGCCGCGUGAGUGAAGAAGGUUCUCGGAUCGUAAAACUCUGUUGUGAGGGAAGAACAAGUACCGGAGUAACUGCCGGUACCUUGACGGUACCUCAUUAGAAAGCCACGGCUAACUACGUGCCAGCAGCCGCGGUAAU